CAUGGAUGUCUCUAGAUUGAGUGUAUAUUUCAUGGAAUGUUUUUCCUUUAGCAGUAUUUGUCAAGGAUUCUUCAGAUUAUCUGAUGUCUCUCUUAAAAUCUAUGAAGAAGCUGUUUCAGGAAUGUAUAGCUCUCUGGAGUCCCAUUUCAGUUGCUACAGUAAGGAUUGAGCAUGAUGAAAAACAUUUUGAACACAAAUGUUCCAUGAUAUAAGCUGGGUUUCUGUAGACGUUGGAACUCCCAUGAAUACUGAGAAAGAAGUUGGACUGUUUAGGAAACGCAAGUGAUGCUGCUGGAAGGACAGGUCUGUUGUUUCAACUCUUUGUUUAAUAAUUUUCACUGAGGAGUAGCUGGUUCCUAGAUCAGUAAUAUGACAUCUUUCUAUGGUCUCCAAAUAGUCUGUAAAUUCUAUAGAACUUACUUCUCUUGGCAGACUUCAUGAAAGUCUUGGAGUUCUUCAAAAUGUGUUUGCUGGUGCUAUCAGAUUCAAAAGACUCGGACUUCUGAGGCCCAAGACCUUACUGUUUAGUAAGAGCCAUGGAACUAAGCACAAAAAAAAAAUCAAAGUUUUAUCUUGGCUCUGACUGUGCUGCAAAAACUCUUCAGGAGAAAUUAAAGUCUUAGCUGCACCCAAGAGAGGUCCAUAAAUAUCAGGACUAGUUUUUCACUGCAACUUAACACACAGAUUAGGAUUACUAUUCAUAUCACUAUUUUAUGUGACAUGGUUAUCAUGUCGUCAUCUGAACGGAACUCAUGGUUUUGUGCCAAGCACUAAAAGAAGUAGAUUAUUUUUUCCAAGUAGGUGUCAUUUAGCAUUCUGUAUCCUUAAUGACACCCUAGAUACUUGAAAGAGUUAAUGUUUGUCCUCUUGGUAUCAGGAAGUAACCUAACGCUCAAUGAAAAUGUAGAUCCUCAUUAUUAUAAUCAGAGAUAAUGAGGAUAAAUGUGUGGAGAUAAUUGGUGCACAGUGACUGCAGAAGGAUGACAAGCGUGGACAACACUGUUUGGCAGGACCACACAUUGUUACAGGGGGAGCAGCUGAUAAGCUCUGAAGUCUUUAAUUGCUUAAUCUAUUCGGCUUCAGGUUUAUACAGUGCCCAUCACCUGGGCCCUAUUUUUUAUAACUAUCUGCUGAACAUUGGCUGAGUCAAAAUUGUUUUGUUAUGAGUUAUUCACAUCACCUUAGGGAGGCUGGCUUAUAUUACGAGCCUCAAUUUUCCCAUAAGCCACUGAACAUGAAAACAUAUUUCAGGGUAAAUUAGUUCCUAAGAGGAGUGUGAGACCAUGACACUUUGCUGGCUCAUUCUUCCCUAUAUGCUGAACUAGGAAGCAAAUUUUUAUUUUUAACUCCCACGUUUUCAAUACCACCCUAAAAUAAGAACACUGGCCAUAGAUCAGGCAGUUGGGGGUGGGGGGCUGGGGUGGUAAGUGGGAGACUGACCUGGGCUUGCUGCUAAGAAGGCAAUGACUUGAAAAGGCAGUUGGCUUGAGAGAAAAAAGGAUCUGGUGCUAAAAGAAAAAAAAAGUACCUAAAGAUGACAUGGUAUAAAUUGCCCACAAGCCCUCCUAUCAUUUCCAAAAUACAAUAAUAAAAAUGGAUUCCUCCCCUAGCCAUGUAAUAAUGUGUCUUCUCUUGCCUUUUUAUGAUUUUCCUUUAAUUGCAGAGCAAAGCUUGGUGUUCAUGUUUCUCUAAUUUAACCUGAGUAAAUUUGUGAAGGAAGGAGUAAGAGGAACACACGGGUGAUAUGUCCGGAGACUGCAAUUGCCUUGCAAUUGUACUUGACACCGGGUAUUGCACUGCUCAAAGAAUAUAAUCCACCAAGCAUUAUUUCCUUCUUGAAGAACUGGUCUAACAUGUCAUGGUACAGUUUCCCAUUUCUUUUUUAAACAUUUCAUCUUCCACCAUUCAGAUGCAAACAUCUAAAUUUACAGCACUGCACAGUUUCAGCAGCACUUUGUUUCUUUUAUA
rnacentral:lncRNA from 1 species